rnacentral:rRNA from 1 species
CCUACGGGUGGCAGCAGUGGGGGAUAUUGCACAAUGGGGGGAACUCUGAUGCAGCGACGCCGCGUGGGUGAAGAAGCGCCUCGGCGCGUAAAGCCCUGUCAGCAGGGAAGAAAAAGACGGUACCUGAAGAAGAAGCCCCGGCUAACUACGUCCAAGCAGCCGCGGUAAUACGUAGGGGGCAAGCGUUAUCCGGAUGUACGGGGUGGAAGGGGGGCGCAGACGGCGAUGCAGGCCAGGAGUGAAGGCCCGGGGCUCAACCCCGGGACUGCUCUUGGAACUGCGUGGCUGGAGUGCAGGAGGGGCAGGCGGAAUUCCUGGUGUAGCGGUGGAAUGCGUAGAUAUCAGGAGGAACACCAGUGGCGAAGGCGGCCUUCUGGACUGCAACUGACGUUGAGGCACGAAAGCGUGGGGAGCAAACAGGAUUAGAUACCCUAGUAGUC